AGUGAACGCUGGCGGCGUGGAUAAGACAUGCAAGUCGAACGAAAUUUUACGGGUAGCAAUACUUUGUAAAGUUUAGUGGCGAACGGGUGCGUAACACGUGAGUAAUCUGCCGAGAAGUGGGGGAUAGCUCGUCGAAAGGCGAAUUAAUACCGCAUGUGACUAGUGAGGUCAUCCUCAUGACGUUAAAGCCGCAAGGCGCUUCUUGAUGAGCUCGCGGCCUAUCAGCUAGUUGGUGAGGUAACGGCUCACCAAGCCUAUGACGGGUAGCUGGUCUGAGAGGACGACCAGCCACACUGGAACUGAGACACGGUCCAGACACCUACGGGUGGCAGCAGUCGAGAAUUUUUCACAAUGGGGGAAACCCUGAUGGAGCGACGCCGCGUGGAGGAUGAAGGCCCUUGGGUUGUAAACUCCUGUCAUAAGAGAACAAGAAAGUGAUAGUAUCUUAAGAGGAAGAGACGGCUAACUCUGUGCCAGCCGCCGCGGUAA
rnacentral:rRNA from 1 species